UUUUUUUGUUUUUCUGAUUUUCAUUUUAUUUCAUUUGAUUUUCAUUAAUUCAUAUUAAUUUUAAUAUUGAUCCAAAAAAAUGAGAGUUCCAUCAAAAAAAUUUUAAAUAAAUUCCUCUUUCAUAUUUUGAAUUAAAAUUAUUUUUUGGAUCAUUAUUAAUAUUUUUCAUGAUUUAAUGGAUUUUUUGAAUAUUUUAAAUUGUUU
rnacentral:lncRNA from 1 species